AGGUGAGAGGCAGGAUCAGACAGGCAAUCAUCAACAACAUACUCUGAAUUUAAGAAUGACCACCACACAGUAAGAGAACUGAAAUUUGGAGGAAAACUUCAGCUCUUAGAGACGGGGUUUCACUGUCUUAACCAGGAUGGUCUCGAUCUCCUGACCUUGUGAUCCACCCUCCUCGGCCUCCCAUCACUGGCUAAAUUUUAAAGGUUGAACUGAACUUAGCCAGUUAGAGUAAUAGAAAGAAGAACAUAAGGAAGGAAGGAUAAAAGGGCACAGUGGUGAGCUCAACAGGAGCACUGAAAGAAGCUUGGCAUAAGUCCAUCAAAUCCUGUUCUACAAGGUGAAGAGGACAGACAUCAGUAGAUUGAGAGACUAGAAAAUGAGAAGAGAAUGUCAUGAAUACUGACACUUCUUUUGUAUAAAAGGCAAUGCCUUAUGUCUGUGGGUCUGUGAAGAACUGCCUCAAAAAUUGGCACAUUAUGAGAGGCUAUAAAUCUGCCACCGACACCCACCCUCCCAGAGUGAGAAGUGUCUUGACUGUUAACUCUCUGGCACUUCUAGUUUGCCCUACAAGGGGGCAGAUCACACUUCAAUUGCAGAUUUGCCUGUAUGCAAUAUCUCUGGAAGGUGCUGGCAUUCCUGACAACUUCAGCAGGUGACCUUGUGGAAGGCUGCAAGGCUGGAGGCACAGAAGCAACCAUGUCUGACUUAGAUGGAGAAGGCUAGGGCAACUGCUACUCAGGUGUUCAAGAGGACAUUUUUUAAAAAAUAACUUGUUUGUGUGGGUUUGUCUUUUAGGAGAAAUAAAAGAAAAAAAAGGUGUCUAAAGUGAGAAAAGUGCCUGAACUCUUUCUGGGUAGACAGGGUCUCAGAUAUGAGUAGGCUUGGAUGUAGGAUGCUGGGGCUAGAGAAAGAAGUGAUUGAGCUGGCCCAGAAAACUGGAGCAAAAAAAUCAGGUGGAAUUUAAUAUAUAAGGUCUAGGGGCAAAGACUUUAUAAAUUAAGCUUUAAUACAAAGGUACAGAAGAGAAUAAGGGGGAAAACCUGAUACAAGAGUGUAACCAGGGAAAACACAUGAAAGCAAACCACUUCUGCAGAGAAGAGAGAAUGGAGACGGUGACCAGGGAGGUCCUACAAGGUCAUGGGCACAAUCAGGAAGGCAUUUACCAUUUUCUUUUAAAGACUCUGUACUAAGAGUCUUUUACAACUCUGGUUGUAAAUACAACAUAUAUUCCUAUCAAUAAAUCAAGUAAUUC